rnacentral:rRNA from 1 species
UCAGCAGCCGCGGUAAUACGGAGGGUGCAAGCGUUGUCCGGAUUUAUUGGGUUUAAAGGGUGCGCAGGUGGUUUAUUAAGUCAGUGGUGAAAUGCACGGUCGCUCAACGAUUGCAGUGCCAUUGAAACUGGUAGACUUGAGUAAAGUAGAGGUGGGCGGAAUUGAUAGUGUAGCGGUGAAAUGCAUAGAUAUUAUCAAGAACUCCAAUUGCGUAGGCAGCUCACUUGGCUUUUACUGACACUCAUGCACGAAAGUGUGGGUAUCAAACAGGAUUAGAUACCCUGGUAGUCCACACUGUAAACGAUGAUAACUAGGUGUCGGCCGAAUCUGGUCGGUGCCACAGCGAAAGCGUUAAGUUAUCCACCUGGGGAGUACGCCGGCAACGGUGAAACUCAAAGGAAAUUGACGG